AUACGUAGGGGGCUAGCGUUAUCCGGAAUUACUGGGCGUAAAGGGUGCGUAGGUGGUUUCUUAAGUCAGAAGUGAAAGGCUACGGCUCAACCGUAGUAAGCUUUUGAAACUAAGAGACUUGAGUGCAGGAGAGGAGAGUAGAAUUCCUAGUGUAGCGGUGAAAUGCGUAGAUAUUAGGAGGAAUACCAGUUGCGAAGGCGGCUCUCUGGACUGUAACUGACACUGAGGCACGAAAGCGUGGGGAGCAAACAGGAUUAGAUCCCCUGGUAGUCCACGCCGUAAACGAUGAGUACUAGCUGUCGGGGGUUACCCCCCUCGGUGGCGCAGCUAACGCAUUAAGUACUCCGCCUGGGAAGUACGCUCGCAAGAGUGAAACUCAAAGGAAUUGACGGGG
rnacentral:rRNA from 1 species